rnacentral:ncRNA from 1 species
CUCUUCAGGGCAGGGUGAAAUUCCCGAUCGGCGGUACAGUCCGCGGGCGCUACGCGCGCAGAAUUGGUGCGAUUCCAAUACCGACAGUGACAGUCUGGAUGAGAGAAGA